CUUCGGGUCUAGUGGCGCACGGGUGCGUAACGCGUGGGAAUCUGCCCUUAGGUACGGAAUAACUCAGAGAAAUUUGUGCUAAUACCGUAUGAUGUCGAAAGACCAAAGAUUUAUCGCCUAAGGAUGAGCCCGCGUAAGAUUAGCUUGUUGGUGAGGUAAAAGCUCACCAAGGCGACGAUCUUUAGCUGGUCUGAGAGGAUGAUCAGCCACACUGGGACUGAGACACGGCCCAGACUCCUACGGGAGGCAGCAGUGGGGAAUAUUGGACAAUGGGCGAAAGCCUGAUCCAGCAAUGCCGCGUGAGUGAUGAAGGCCUUAGGGUUGUAAAGCUCUUUUACCAGGGAUGAUAAUGACAGUACCUGGAGAAUAAGCUCCGGCUAACUCCGUGCCAGCAGCCGCGGUAAUACGGAGGGAGCUAGCGUUGUUCGGAAUUACUGGGCGUAAAGAGUACGUAGGCGGUUAUUCAAGUCAGAGGUGAAAGCCUGGAGCUCAACUCCAGAACUGCCUUUG
rnacentral:rRNA from 1 species